GUCAAUAUUGAUUUACUUGAGGUCAAGGAAGCACGUAAACACUUUGACAAGGCUAGUCUCAUUUACGACCAGGCUCGUGAAAAAGUUCUUUCAGUGAGAAAAAGUACAAAGAGUAAUAUUGCCAAUGUUUUGGAAGAGGAACUUCAUAAUGCAAGGUCAACAUUUGAGCAGGCUCGUUUUAAUCUAGUGAGUG